rnacentral:rRNA from 1 species
AUUGAACGCUGGCGGCAUGCCUUACACAUGCAAGUCGAACGGCAGCACGGGAGCUUGCUCCUGGUGGCGAGUGGCGAACGGGUGAGUAAUGCAUCGGAACGUGCCCUGAAGUGGGGGAUAACGUAGCGAAAGUUACGCUAAUACCGCAUAUUCUGUGAGCAGGAAAGCAGGGGAUCUUCGGACCUUGCGCUUUUGGAGCGGCCGAUGUCGGAUUAGCUAGUUGGUGGGGUAAAGGCCCACCAAGGCGACGAUCCGUAGCGGGUCUGAGAGGAUGAUCCGCCACACUGGAACUGAGACACGGUCCAGACUCCUACGGGAGGCAGCAGUGGGGAAUAUUGGACAAUGGGCG